AUAUUGCACAAUGGGCGAAAGCCUGAUGCAGCCAUGCCGCGUGUAUGAAGAAGGCCUUCGGGUUGUAAAGUACUUUCAGUUGUGAGGAAGGUUGUGUAGUUAAUAGCUGCAUAAUUUGACGUUAGCAACAGAAGAAGCACCGGCUAACUCCGUGCCAGCAGCCGCGGUAAUACGGAGGGUGCGAGCGUUAAUCGGAAUUACUGGGCGUAAAGCGCAUGCAGGUGGUUUGUUAAGUCAGAUGUGAAAGCCCGGGGCUCAACCUCGGAAGGUCAUUUGAAACUGGCAAACUAGAGUACUGUAGAGGGGGGUAGAAUUUCAGGUGUAGCGGUGAAAUGCGUAGAGAUCUGAAGGAAUACCAGUGGCGAAGGCGGCCCCCUGGACAGAUACUGACACUCAGAUGCGAAAGCGUGGGGAGCAAACAG
rnacentral:rRNA from 1 species